rnacentral:rRNA from 1 species
UACGUAGGGUGCAAGCGUUGUCCGGAAUUAUUGGGCGUAAAGAGCUUGUAGGCGGUUUGUCGCGUCUGCUGUGAAAUUUCGGGGCUCAACCCCGAACUUGCAGUGGGUACGGGCAGACUAGAGUCCGGAAGAGGAGAGUGGAAUUCCUGGUGUAGCGGUGAAAUGCGCAGAUAUCAGGAAGAACACCCGUGGCUAAGGCGGCUCUCUAGUACGGUACUGACGCUGAGACGCGAAAGCGUGGGGAGCGAACAGG